GUGAGGCAUGUGAGGAGCUGCAUUGCGGACCGCCGAUACUAGGUUUUCGCCGCAUCUUGGAAUUCAUCGACACCUAAGAUGCCACCUGCGAUUGGCGGGCCAGUGGGGUACACCCCCCCAGAUGGAGGCUGGGGCUGGGCGGUGGUAGUUGGAGCCUUCAUUUCUAUUGGCUUCUCCUAUGCAUUUCCCAAAUCCAUCACUGUCUUCUUUAAAGAGAUUGAAAUUAUAUUCAGUGCAACGACCAGUGAAGUGUCAUGGAUAUCGUCCAUCAUGCUGGCUGUCAUGUAUGCCGGAGGUCCUAUCAGCAGUAUCUUGGUGAAUAAAUAUGGCAGCCGUCCAGUAAUGAUUGCUGGUGGCUGCCUGUCUGGCUGUGGCUUGAUUGCAGCUUCUUUCUGUAACACGGUGCAGGAACUUUACUUCUGCAU
rnacentral:lncRNA from 1 species